AGUCAUAUGCUUGUCUCAAAGAUUAAGCCAUGCAUGUCUCAGUACAAGCCAAAUUAAGGUGAAACCGCGAAAGGCUCAUUAAAUCAGUUAUGGUUCCUUAGAUCGUACCCACACUUACUUGGAUAACUGUGGUAAUUCUAGAGCUAAUACAUGCAAAUAGAGCUCCGACCGGAGACGGAAGGAGUGCUUUUAUUAGAUCAAAACCAAUCGGCGACGGGUCAAACCGUUGUCGUAAUAUUUGGUGACUCUGAAUAACUUUUUGCUGAUCGCACGGUCUAGCACCGGCGACGCAUCUUUCAAAUGUCUGCCUUAUCAACUGUCGAUGGUAGGUUCUGCGCCUACCAUGGUUGUAACGGGUAACGGGGAAUCAGGGUUCGAUUCCGGAGAGGGAGCCUGAGAAACGGCUACCACAUCCAAGGAAGGCAGCAGGCGCGCAAAUUACCCACUCCCGGCACGGGGAGGUAGUGACGAAAAAUAACGAUACGGGACUCAUCCGAGGCCCCGUAAUCGGAAUGAGUACACUUUAAAUCCUUUAACAAGGAUCAAUUGGAGGGCAAGUCUGGUGCCAGCAGCCGCGGUAAUUCCAGCUCCAAUAGCGUAU
rnacentral:rRNA from 1 species